AAGUUGGAAGAAGAUGCAAGCGCAGCAUGCCAAUGUUGUUGAAUAUGCCAGCACGAAGUUUCCAGGCGCAAGUGUUUCUUAUAUAAAAGAAAGCCUAUUCUCUCCCCUCACAAGGGAAAUAAAAUCACUAUAUAAAAAUGCCAUUUCAUGUGCCUUUUUUGUUUUCCUGUUGGCUGCAGUUAAUAUUCAGCCUCAGUGAGCCAAAUCUUGCUACUUUAGACCUUAGUGAGAUAUAUCCCAGUACAAUGAAA
rnacentral:lncRNA from 1 species